rnacentral:rRNA from 1 species
AUUGAACGCUGGCGGCAUGCCUUACACAUGCAAGUCGAACGGCAGCACGGGUGCUUGCACCUGGUGGCGAGUGGCGAACGGGUGAGUAAUACAUCGGAACGUACCUUAUCGUGGGGGAUAACGCAGCGAAAGCUGUGCUAAUACCGCAUACGCCCUGAGGGGGAAAGCGGGGGAUCGAAAGACCUCGCGCGAUUAGAGCGGCCGAUGCCUGAUUAGCUUGUUGGUGGGGUAAAAGCCCACCAAGGCGACGAUCAGUAGCUGGUCUGAGAGGACGAGCAGCCACACCGGGACUGAGACACGGCCCAGACUCCUACGAGAGGGAGCAGUGGGGAAUUUUGGACAAUGGGGGCAACCCUGAGCCAGCAAUGCCGCGUGGGUGAAGAAGGCCUUCGGGUUGUAAAGCUCUUUUGUCAGGGAAGAAACACCGGCUCUAACACAGUCCGGGAAUGACGGUACCUGAAGAAUAAGCACCGGCUAACUACGUGCCAGCCGCCGCGGUAA